GACUCGAAGGCGCAGGGUGCGCAUCCGCUAUAAAUUAGAGCUUCUGCAUUUAGUACUGUUCAGGCGGAGCACGUCGGUUCGACUCCGGCUCGAGUCC